GUUUUUCCACCAGAAAAGAAACUCUAAGAGGGCAAGGAUUGUGCCACUUUUGAACUCUAUCCCCAGUACUGCUGGGCAUGUAGGAGGGGCUGAUGGUCAUCCUCCGGCAACAUUGCCCAGGGAAGGUAGCAUCAUUGCCUGAUAGCCUUAGAUGUCUGCAAAUGUUCAUUUUAUUACUUAUGUUAAAAAACCCACACUCGUCUAAUAGUCAACUGGCAUCCAAUGUGUGACUUCAUGGAUGAUACUGCUUGGAGUAAGGCCAAGUGGGGGGCGGGGGGAAGUCCACUCUUUUGAAGAAAACCUUAGGUGUAACCGAGGACAAGGUCCAGGUGGGAAACAACCCGCCCCACCCAAGACUGACAAGACCAGAUGGACAUUCUGGAAAGGUGACUCAGGCAGCAGUCCGGCUUGCCAGGAUAAGGGAAAAGGGUAGAGAGGCUAUUCUAAGGGGCCCGAAGACAAAAUGCGUGUUGAGCCAGUGGAGUGUGGUGAGGGGCAGUGGGAUGGAGGGAGCUGGCAGACCCUGAUCGGGUGUGGAAGCUGGGGCAGGGUGGGCGGUACCAUGGCUCCCACCCAUAUCUGUCUCAAGACUUAGCCCAGGACCUUCCACGUAAUAGGUGCUCAGCAAAUACGCGGUGAGGGACCCUGUGAGUGGAUGGAUGAAUCGCUGCGAGCCUCCUCACUCAUAAUCCGCAGGGGUUUCUCAUGCCCCCAUGGAGGGGGCAAUUAGAAAAGGGUCAGGGGGCAUUGUAGAGGGUUGGCCAGCCCCCCACGGCUCCACAGGCGCAGGGGAACUGGCUUCUUGCCAUCCCUCGGGGGCUUGGCAGAGUGACAGGUUCACAAGAUGGGCAGGUCCCACAGCAGACUGGGAAAGUGAUAAGGGCAGGGCCUGGCCUGAAGGACAAUUUCUUUGACACCCCCAUUAGCCCUGUCUAGGGCUGAGAGGGCCUGACUAAGCAGCUUCUCUCCUGGCAGUGGAAAGGGGGAACCAAGGACUCUGCUUCUCCUUCGGUUGCUCACACGGACCUGCCAGGAGCCAUUCCAGAUUGGCUGCAGGAAACGUUCUAUACAUAUGUGAGACGCCGUGUUUCUUCCUCCCAGGAAGGGCGAGGGCGGCAGAUGUUUCUCUAGAGAGAAAUCAGUUCCCCUCACCCCCAUCCUGCAGUCAGAAUAGCAAUGCAAGGGGACUAACGUUUGUGGGGUUCCUACUAUGCACCACGUUCUACUACAGCGUCAGCUUUCCGCGUUACGAUGUCAUUGUCAUGGCAACAAUGCAGGAUGGGUGUUUUUCGCAGAGGAAGCCUCUGAGGUUUGGAGAGUUGAGCUCCGUAGCUAAGGCCAUACAACCAAUACGUAUCAGAACUGGAAUUUGAACCUGGCUCUCCAACAUUCUACAACUCGUGUUCUCUCGAAUACAGCCUUUGGCUCUGUUCAAAAUAGUCCUCUGGGCUCUGUGCCUAAAGCAAUAGAAGAUGUAGACCAAGGACAUCAGACUUGGGACAGAAAUAUUCCGGGACAUUUUUGUGGCUGAAAGCUCUGGACCUAGGGGGAGAAAGCCUUCAGACAAAUCUGGUAAGACAAGGGCCUGGGCAGACAUCUCCUCUGUUCAUUCAACCCAUCGGGAAGGGUGCUCCAGGCAGAAGGUACAGCAUGUGCCCAGGCCUGGAGACACGAGAGCGAAAUGUGCUCGCUGCUGUUAGAGCAGAGCAAGCAAAUGAGGAAUCGGUAGGAGGUGUGGCCAGGGGGCUGGGCUGGAUUCCUGGACCCUUACUGUCAUACUCUUUCUGGAGUAGUAGACUCUGCCCUGAAUCAGGCCAUUCUCCUGGGUGCCCUGGAAAACGAUCCGGUGACCGUGCUCUCCAGAGCGCGUCUGAUGGUAAUGAGGCUCAGCCCGGAGACCAUCCGAGUGGGUGACAGACUCCCAAAUAUCAGAGGCUGGCAUAUUUCCUCUACAAGCCAGUGGGUACACGGUAUCGAAGAGAAGGGAAAAAAUAAUCGUAGCAGUGUCUGAAGAAUGUAGACACGGUGUCUUGCUCUCUCGUAAUGUAUGUUUCAAGCAGCAUAAGGAGUAAAAAAGUCAGAUUCACAUAUCUCCUGCUGCUCGUGCAAAGAAAACGAGCGGAAGUUCCAAGGCAGCCGUUUCACCCAUAAGAUGCGUGAUGUUGGGAGUCGUAAUAAAAAAUAAAUAUUUGGUCUCCGGGCCCUUUUCUGGCACAGGGCUCCUAAAACCUUAGGAAUUUCCGGGGAGGAAGGUGAUAUAGGUGUCAUUUGUUACGUUAACGAGGUGACCUUUGGAACCACCUAAGGAUGGGGCUGGUUGCCAGGAGAACUAACCAUGCGAUGAGAAGGUUGGAGUUUUCAGUCCCUCCCUCAACUGCCUGUGAGAGGAGGAGGCUGGAGGUUGAAUUAAUGGCCAAUGGCCAAUGCUUUAAUCCAUUGUGACCAUAAUGAAGCCUCGGUGAAAAUCCCAAAGGACCAGGUGUGGCGUGCUUCCUGAUUGGUGGACAGCUUUCAGAGAGCUUCCUGAUUGGUGGAGACAAUAUUCACAGUGCUUCCUGAUUGGUAGACAGGGUUCGAGCGCUUCCUGAUUGGCUGACAGGCGGAGAUUCGGGAAGAGUGGGCUCUCAGAGACCGUGGAAGCUCCACCCCAUGUCCCCACACCUUGCCCUAUGCAUCUCUUCCACUGGCUGUUCCUGAAUUAUAUCCUUUUAUAACAAACUUGUAACCUGCGUGGCCAAAUGUCAGUGCCAAGUCAUUCAACGCGCAUUACCAACUUCUUCCUGUGUGCCAGGAACUGGCCCUGCCCCGGAGGACAAGCAGUGAACCCUGUAGACACAGCCUCUCACUGAGCUUGAUCCGGAGGGGGUCCACCCUCCCCCUCUCGCCGGCUGCCCCCAGGGCUGAGCCUCCAGUGUCCAGGUUUGAAGAUUAAUAGCAGCCUGAGCUUCUGAGGUUCCUGGUGCAGAAAUAAGGUCACGGUGAAGAUAUGGCCAUUUUGAAACCCUGGUGAACUUCAAGGACCAGCGCAGAGUGGCAGACCUCUCAGGGGUCCACCCGAGCCCCAGCACGGCCUCAGUAAGGGUCUGCUUGCUUCCACUAAAGUCCCAAACCUGGAGGGGCACACCCCAUCCAUCCCUCUCUCAAGAAAUAAAUGCAUCCAUCCCAUUCAGAGAAAGAUCACAGCUCUGAGGGGCUUAUGGGUUUUCCUGCAAUCCGGUCCUCUCGUCAUCCCACAUCUGUAGAGUCUCGAAACUGCCUCUUCCUGACGAGUGGGGCUGCGAGAGUAAGGGCCUAACUGAGCUAACAGGCACAGAGACCGGCGAUCAUGGAGCCUUUGGGAGAGGGGGCUCGAGGGAGCCCUCCCAAAACAGGUCCCCUUCCCAGCCAGCCCCCACCGAGGACAUCGCAGCAAGAAUCAUCCCGACGGAGGAGUUUGCGUGCUGACCCAAAGGGUGCAGGGGCUUUUCCCUUUGCUGGCUUCAGUUUAGUGGGACACAUUCCUCGAGAGCCCAAGGCACCACGGUUGCCCUUGCAGGAAGGAGAAGUGGACAAGGACACAGAGGAGAGCAGGCCAAGAGCCGGCAGUCCCGCCUCUGUACUGAGUCUGUGAGACCUUGAGGCCUUCAACCUCUGGGCUUGGGGCCUCAGUUUCCCCAUCUGCAAGCAAGGGUGCUGGACUACACCAACUCUCCAGUCCUCUAUUUCAUCGGCACGCCAGUAAGGAGAGAUCUGGUCCUGGCCCCAUCCUUGCCUUAGGCAGGACUGACUUGUUCCCAAUAAAAAAAUCUCAAAUCCAGA